GACGAACGCUGGCGGCGUGCUUAACACAUGCAAGUCGAACGGUAAGGCCCUUCGGGGUACACGAGUGGCGAACGGGUGAGUAACACGUGGGUGAUCUGCCCUGCACUUCGGGAUAAGCCUGGGAAACUGGGUCUAAUACCGGAUAGGACUCCGGACUGCAUGGUCUGGGGUGGAAAGCUUUUGCGGUGUGGGAUGGGCCCGCGGCCUAUCAGCUUGUUGGUGGGGUGAUGGCCUACCAAGGCGACGACGGGUAGCCGGCGUGAGAGGGUGACCGGCCAGACGGGGACUGAGGGACGGCCCAGACUCCUACGGGGGGCAGCAGUGGGGAAUAGUGCACAAUGGGCGCAAGCCUGAUGCAGCGGCGCCGCGUGAGGGAUGACGGCCUUCGGGUUGUAAACCUCUUUUAGCAGGGAAGAAGCGAAAGUGACGGUACCUGCAGAAAAAGCACCGGCUAACUACGUGCCAGCAGCCGCCGUAA
rnacentral:rRNA from 1 species